AAACAGUAUUUUAUUUCUUCUGUACAGAACAGCGUCUGUCGGGGUACAGAUAUAUAAUUUUUUAGCUCCUUAAUAUUUUUUUAAUAUUAAACCCCUCUGUAACGCACACAUUAUCACGCUGUCAGAUCUUCUAUAAGCUAGUGUUUUCUAAGUCUGUGGUGGCAGUACUGCCUCAGCCGGACACUGUUAAUUGUAUGUGUGAUUUAACAACGUAAGGUACUAUAGUAAGUAUUAAUUAAGUACUAUAGUAGUAAGGUAUUGCAAAAUGGCAUUUCAAAAAUUACUCUCUAUUAUACAGCGUGUCGCUACAACUGCGACAUUCAAAUAAAUACACGGGUAGAACUACUUAAGCGUAAGGGUAGAAAAAAAUUUACAGGUAAUCGCCCCAAUAACGCGUUGGAGUGGUUCCGCGUUAUAGGGAGACGAGUUUUCACUCGUUAUAUGGGAUUAGCCUUAGCCUUAUAACAAGUUUCCUUAUAGAAAUAUAAUAAUAAUUAAUCACAAUAAUUGUUUGCCUAGUUUUACUAUUUUAUUAAGAAAAAUACAACAAAUUUGAUAGAAUAAUUUAAUUUUGUAAUAACACAAUUGACACGCGAGCAAAGGUACGCGAAGCUAAUUAUGAACUUUAUAAAUUAUUAUAAACUUCACAGUACAGAAACAUGUAAGUGGAAAAUCCCCGUGUUAUAUGAAGCAAUUUUGAAAUCGCGUAAUAUAAAACCGAGUUAUACGGCUACCUCGUUAUAGGGCAGAUGUAUUUUCCAUAAUGUCAUUUCGGAGCACCCUAUAAGUGAUCUAGUAGCAGCGCGCUAGUCUAGGCACUGACCUACUUCGUACACGUAAGGGUGAUUAAAUUUUUUUUUCCUAAAUUUAUAAUUUGUUUGUUUGAAAAUUUCUAAAUUUGUUUCUUUAAAAUUCAGAAUUAUUUUUUUAGGAUUACGGUUAAGGAGUUCUAUAUAACUAGUAGUAGUUCAUAUCUGAGUCAAAUUCAAAUCUUGACUCUGUUGAAAAUAUCCACUUGUUAAAAGAAUUCUCUAUUAAUUGUAUAGUAUUAAAUGCGCAAUUGGUCGACUUAAAAUUUACGAAGCUUAUUCGGUUAGUUAAAAAUAUUACACAAAUAAAAUUUGAAAAACAAAAUUUUAUUAAGGAUGCGGUACUCGAACGGUUAGCUCCGUUGAUUAGAGCACCGGCACGGAACGCUGGAGGUCGUGGGUUCGAAUCCCGCAUAGUUCAUAAAAUUUUGUUUUUUUUGAAAAAUUUCUAUGAGGGUUAUCACUUUAAAAACAUAACAUAUUGUUUAGAUUUACAAGAGCGACAUCUCAAUUCAAUUUCUUAUAUGCAAAUAUUGGGGUUGAGCAGGUUAUCAACUGUAAAGUAGAUCCUGUAGAUGAAGCCACAACCUGAGAGUUGAACAAAGCAAACAGAAUUUUAUAACGAGGCGGUACUCGAACGGUUAGCUCAGUUGGUUAGAGCACCGGCACGGAACGCCGGAGGUCGUGGUUUCGAAUACGCAUCGUUCAUAAAAUUUUGUUUUUCAAAUUUUAUUUGUGUAUUAAUCCUAGAAGUGAGGGUUAUCACUUUAAAAACAUAACAUAUUGUUAAAAAUAUUAGCUUAAUUAUAAAAAUACUCAUGUAGUACAUAUUAAUAUAAGUGAUAAGUCAAUUUAUAAGUAGAAAUCGCAAUAUUAUGUCUCGUACAUAAGAUUCACUUUCACGAGUGAACAGUGAUUAUUGUAAAUUGUGUUUUAUUUGAAAGUACAGACGGUAUAUUUUCGCAAUAAUUUUAAAGUUUGAAUUAUCUAUUAAAUGUUAAGAUGUUUUCACUAAUAUAAAAAAAAUCCUUUAGAAAGUGCUGGAAAGCUUGUUGUUGUUCCCUUAGGUUAGGCAUAGUUGAUGCCUGUUGAUAAUUCUUAGGAAAUACAUUUAAGGUGGAAUUGUCUCGAAUCCGCAGUUAUAUGACUGAGGCCUAAAGUGUAUAAGAAGUAAUAAUACUAGUACUACUAAUAGUAUUUUAUGACGAUACGUCACUCGAACGGUUAGCUCAGUUGGAAGAGCAGUCGCACCGGACGCGAGUGAUCCUGGGUUCGAGUCCAUAAAAUUUUGUUUUCAAAUUUUAUUUGUAGUAAUAAUACUCCGGUCGCGAAGCACAAAAAUUCUGAACAUAGUAGUUGUAUAUAUCUUAAUAUAAAUAAAUCUAUGUCCUGAUAUUUUGUUUCCAGUGAACUCUUAAACAAAUAAAGGGAUUUUAAUGGGGAUUUAUGUUUUAAAAUAUCUAUCAUCGCGGAACUUUAAAAUUGUAAUUAUUAUAACGGUUACUCACGAUAGAUAUUUUAUUAAUUUAGUGCUGAUGUUUCGAUCCAUUUGCAUGAAUCGUGGUCGCGGCGGAACUGCGGAGGCGGCGAGAAACGAGAUAUCGUGAUACCCGUCAUAAUAAUUAAUACUUUUAAUUGGGAUCACUUAUUGGAGUGCAGUUUAGUCCAAAUUGAGAGAUAGUUUUUAUUUUCGAUUUGAGACCCAAAAUUUGUUUUAUUUCCAAUAUUUGUUUUGUACGGACAUAUUUUACGAAAUAAUUCUUGAUGUUAUGAAGUAUUAUUGACAAAUUCAUAAAAAACAAGUAUUUUAUAUAUUAUGUACAUAAUAUAUAAGAACAACGUCUGUCGGGUCAGCUAAUCCCCUAUAUAUUGUUUUAGCGUAACAGAAUGAUAUACUGUACACAUACACUAAAAAAAUAUUAAUUUGUAAAAGUACGAUUAAAAUUAAACUAAUUAAUAUGCUUUCAAACUUGCGUCUAUGUUUUUUGAGUGUAUAGUUCUGGAUUUAUCAUAAUAUAUUCAUGUUUAUAUCUCAAUAUAUAAUAUAUUACAUAAUUAUUUUAUUUCAUCAUAGUAUUUUUUUUAUAUUUUAGUGAGACAUAUUUAUUACUUUAGUAAAAUUUUUAUUUGACGCUUUUAUACAUUAAUUGUUUUUUACUGAGCUCUCUUCCGGCCGUUCCUAAUAUACUAUCUACAGAUAGAGAUAAAUUACUACCUUCUACUGUCAGUAAUUAGCUGUCAAUAAUCUGAUGCUGUCCCAAUAUACCCGAUAAGUCAUUCUUAUCGCCUUAUAUUGGGACGCGUGAAUUGCAAUUUUCAUACAAACUUCUAACGAUGGUAAGCUAUACGUCGUCCCAUUGACAGACAGCGUGUGAUAAGGUGAGUUACCGUCGAUAAGUUUAUUGUGACAGAAAAUUCAACGAUAGUUACGAUUUUUAUCUCAAGUAAGAGAUAGACUGAAUAUUGGGAGCGGCCGUUAAAGUAUCAACACUCUAGGAUUAAGUGUAGUAGAUUAUUUUAUUUAUUAUUAAGUUAUCGCCUAAUCUCGUCGCGAUACGACCUCACUUACGGCCUUAUGGGAGUGACGCACCGUGUAUGUAGAUAAUUUCACAGUUUUGAAUGCUAGUGGAAGGAGCGUUAUGUAUCUAUUUUUACUGUCUUCCAUUAAAAUCACUGUUUAUUUUUAUUUUUUCACGACAUAUUGUGUGAAUGAUAUGAUAUUGUUAAUUUAUUAGUAUUUAUUAAUUUAGUUGUUAAUAAUUAUUUACUAGAGUGAAACGUAAUCUCCAAUUUCAACUAAUGAUAUUAUUACAUACCAACAUAUUUAUAGUUACGCCAUCUGCUAUUUAACCUAUAGCUAUGGUGGUUAUUAUUGUUUUUUUAAUUAAAUCAUUGGUAAGAAGCUGAUGGUCUUGCCAUCAGCUCAAAUUAAAAUAAAAUAAAAGAAGGUUAGAUUAUGGAUUGAUCUCCGCUGCGCUCCAACUAGAUACCGCACUACCUAAGAAUAAUAGCUUUCUUAUUACAGCAACUAUAAGAUGCUUUUGUGCGUGGCAUCUUGACACUCAAUGGCAUCUUUUGAAUUUUGCAACAAACGCUUCGUGUUAUUUUGCAUUAAAAUUAAUAAAAUACAAAAUACUGAUAAUAUGUGAUCGCAGUGUCUUUCUUAUUUCUUUGUAAGUAGUAUUCUUUUUACAAGUUUUACUACGCAACCCGGCAUUUUAGUUUCAAUUAUUAGCAAAGUUUAACAGAACGUGUGGCACGUCAGCGUCACAUAUUGUUCGAGACUGGCUCGAGUACGCCACUUGGGCGUGACGGCUGCGGAUAUAGUUGAUAACUAUAUAUAGUUGGAGCGCAGCGAAGACCAAUUCUUAAUCUGAGCAGAAAAGUAUUUUUUUUAGCUAGAAUUAGUGCAUUUUUCAAGAUGGUCAAAUAUUAUUUAAAAACCACACAUCUUGCACAUGUUACAGUAUACAAUUUUGAGAUCUGCCGCCUCGCCAUACAAGAUGAUAAAUAAGAAGUAAAUAGAAAUGUUAUAAGUGAUAAUAUCUUAUCUUAAUAUAUAUAAAUUACUUGACACGUUGUUUGUCCGCGAUGGACUCCCAAAAUAAUGAACGGAUUUUAAUGGGGAUUACUGCAUGGAGUGCAGUUUAGUCCAACUCGAGAGAUAGGAUAGUUUUUAUUUUGAUUUGGGACCCAUAAUUAUUAUUAUUUUCAAUAUAUGUUUUGUAUGGACAUAUUUUCUAUGAGAGAAUUUAGUGACGCACGGUUUGACAGUUCCACUGUGAAACAAUUUCAUUAUAACAACAGGAGCAUUUUUACGAAAUAAUUCUUGAUGUUUUGAAAUAUUAUUGACAAUUUCCUAUAAAACAGUAUCUACAGAACAACGUCUGUCGGGCAGCUAGUAAUAAUAAUAAAACAUAAUAAUAUUGUCGUCUAUGUCUAUACAGGACGAAUGACGGCAAUACGAAUAAAUUAAUAAUCUAAUAUUUAAAAACAAUCGCCAUAUAUUUUAUGUUAAAAACAAUUAAAUUAAAUAAUAUGAAAGUUAAUAUUUUGGACAUAGAUUUGUUGUUUUUACAGUCAGAUAUUCUGGAAUACAGCAUAUUUUCGCGUUUUUCCGAUUAAUACUAAAUCACUACUUACCAGCUGUGGGGGACAUGUUUGACGAUGCUAUGUCACUCCUAGUUCCUUCGGAUUUAAUUGUUAUGGUAACAAAAUUAAAUAUAUUAUAUUUAUAUUGUUUUAUCGCUACCCUCUUAUUCAUAAUGGCCCGCUAAUUUUGUUUUUUCUCGUUCUGACUUAGGUCAAUAGAAGAGGACAGAGUGCGAAUUAGCAAUGCUUUAAGGCGACACUAAAUGCCUGCGACCUUGAGCGAUAUGAGUUCACGGCUCCUAUGUAACAAAGCCAAUAUUUUAAAAAUACUUGCGUCGAAAAUGUUCCAUUUUAACAGUUUAAUUGCUUACAAUUCUCAUUAUUGAUUACUAAUCUGAAUAAAUGUACCAACACAAAAAAAGUUAAAGCUAUAAAAACAACUUUUAUAAGAGUAGUAUACUAAACAACUUGUGUAACUGCAAAGAAAACUAGUAGUUCAUAAUAGUUCUGGAGUGUUAACUUUAACCAACAGCAAGCAUUAGCAACCUACAAGUAAGACUUAAGGGCAUGUGUAACAGGAUAAAGUAGUGUGCAUAGCUCCAAAUGCUAUAUUUUCACCACAGAACUUGUCUAAAAACACCUUGAUUGCGUGUUUUCUGUCUACCCUUCGCCUUAAGUUAGCAGACUAUUAUGAAUAAGGGGCCUAAUGUUUUGAAAUGGUUUUAAUAAGGCUGUGACUAAAUAUUUUGUGCGUUUGUAUAUGCUCGCAAAAAACGGCUCUAAGUGUGCCUACUUCCCUUUAUAAUAUAAUAAUAUCUGGACGACCGAGCUGUACAAAACUUGAACAAAAAAAAUAACAGGACACCAGUAUUCGAACCGGGGUCUUCUGCUUUCCUGAUCACCCAAUGUCCCACCUGAACCAUUAUAGUCUUGUAGGUAUAUAGUGGCGAAAUUAUCUUUGUAUUCUAAUCUUAUUAUAGUUGUUUCUCAUUAUAACACGGAUAAAACUAAAUUUUUUAAAGUUGAAACCUAGCUAGAUCGAUUACUCGCCCCUGAAACUACCUGUAUACUAAAUUUCAUUGAAAUCGUUGGAGCCGUUGUCGAUAUUCAGAUUAUAUAUAUACAAGAUGCUCGUUUAAAAGUAUAAGAUGAUUCUCGUAACACGAAGAAUAGAUCAAAUUUGAUCUGAUAGAGUACAUAUACAUAGGAACUGUCUACAGAAAAAAGUCCGCGAUUUUAUGUCAAUUUUCUAGGAUUAAUUAUUUAACCUCUUCUCACAAAAAAAAUUGGUUAUAUAUAUGUAGACGGAUUCAGUAUUAAGUCUUAAGGCGUUAGUCACCUUAAGCAUUUCAUACACAACCGUUUCAACAUUCGUGAAGCAGUAAUGUGUAAGCAUUACUGCGUUUCGGUCUGAAGGGCGCCGUAGCUAGCAAAAUUACUGGGCAAAUGAGACUUAACAUCUUAUGUCUCAAGGUAACGAGCGCAGUUGUAGAGCCGCUCAGAAUUUUAGGGUUUUUCAAGAAUCCCGAGCGGCACUGCAUUGUAAUGUUGAUCAUUUAAAAAAAACCACGGGUGUUGUGACAUUGCCGCACCAUCUGGCAAGCUUAAAACGCCUCCCUUUGAUAGUACUUGUUCCUGGGGCAAGUUUAAACUGCAGUUUGAGACCGAAGUUAAACAAUUGGACUGAAAAGCUGAUGCGAAACUAUUGUCGGUACUAUAAUACCUUAGAUUAUUUACAUCUACAUAGACUAUGAUAGCUGUGAAAAAAAAAUUGUGUUCAGAACUAAUCUCUAUUUAAAGCAAUUCACGCACACUAACACAGUGUCAUACAAAUCGCGAGUGUAAGACAUAGCUUGUCACGCACACUAAAUUAAUAUUCCUGUUGUGUUUUAUCGGUUGUCUAACAGCAAGAGACUAUCUAGACGUAUUUAUAAUUACCUAAGUAUAAUACAUAUUGUUUCAUUCGCUACGAAUUUUAUUUGAGUCUGUUAUUAGUUGUGUAGUAUUUUGAACGGACUAAAUCACAUUUAAAUAUAGAACACAUUUGCUACACUAAGAUGUUAAGAUAGUCCUUUUCCAUACAACCUACGGUUUGGUCCAUUGACCUGUAUAAAUACCACUGGACAGGCUGUUCCAUAUGUUUGACAGCAAAUUUUUUGUACCUAUUUGAAGCGCCACUCGCGAGCGUCCAGAGAACUAAUUUUGACGUAAAAUACAAAUGGAUGCGAAGGAAAGUACAGUACCUACUCUGAAGUAUUUUAGAUUUUUAAUUAGUUUCGUUCGUUUUCAUUGGUAUAUACUUCAAGAAUCAACGUAAUAAAGUACACAUUUUUUUUGUAAAUAGUUUCCCACCAUUUAUCGAUGUUUGCUGAGGUUGUCAUCUCUAGUUUUAGUACCACAGACUCUCGCUACAUGGUCAAUAGCGCCAAAAUGGCGAAUAUCAAACAGGCACAAAAGCACUUAGACAGCCGCCAGUCCAGUGGUAUAUAGUAGAGGUGAGUGGUUUUGUUAUACAAAAGGUGCGUCACUUUUGACAGGAGGGCACACAAGCAUAUACUAAUUUACUGUACCUUAUUCAGCACUCAAUUUAUUAUGCACUCACCGGCACGGAAACUUGGCCGCUCAAGAAUUUUGCGAUAUUCAGUGUUAAAAAUACACUUUCACAAUUUUUUCUAAUUUGUUUAAAGUCUAGAAAGGGUAUUUAAAUAAUUACUAUUUUGCUUGCAUCCGGUCAAGCAUGCUCUGGAUCAUGUUUUUAAUGUUCCAGUUGCGAAAUGGCCUCCCAAGCGUUAAUCGCUAUAUUGCGGAGCUGGUUAAGGGUUUGUGGAGGGCUGACACCGGAACUGAUUUUCUUUCAAACAUGUGCCAGGUGAACUCUAUUUAAGUCCGGACUACGAGCUGGCCACAGUAAUUUCUAUUCACCUGCUGCUAGAAGGUACUCCUCGACACAUUGUGCGACGUGUGGACGUGGCCUAUAGUGCAUCAAAAGAAAUUCUUCAACCCUAUCAAGCCAAAAUGAGGGCAUAUGGAUAUAUCGAUGGGCAUUUAGCCUACUGUUGACAAUAACUAACUCCGUACGAGCUUCCGAACUUAUACCCAUAUCAUUAUCGUGACUCCAUGGAAACUUACAGUUUGUAUGGUGGUGAUGGGCAAAAAUAGCUCUCCUCUUCUUCACCAGACUCUUCCUCGACUCUCCUGUGCUCACAGAGAGAUGCGGCAUUCAUCUAUAAGAGUAAAUUUGCCCACUACUCGUGUGUCCAGUUGACAUGAUCCCGGGCGAUUUGAAGAGCUACUUGAUGAUGUCUGAGAAGUUCUGGCCCUUGUACUGGUCUACAAGCUUUUAAAUUUGCUUCUCCAUUCGCCUUCUGAUCGUUCUCUCGCUUACAUUUAUGUUCCUUACAAUUGGGAGUCGCUGUCGUAUCUCAACAACUGUAAGACGGCAGUUUCUCCAUAUCUCUAAACGGAUAAAACGGUCAUCUCGAUCAGAGGGGCAUUUUUGGCCUCCACUGCUGGGUCUCCGCGAAUAGCUUUCAGUUUCUCGAUAGAUUUUCAAGACAUACUGCGUGGAAGACCGGCCACCUCAUGCCGAGUCAACCCCUGCUCGAUCAAUGCUACACCUAUUAAUUAUCACAGUUAAUAGCAUUUUUAGUUGUUGAUAGACACACGUUGAAUGUUGAAUCACAACUAUGAAAACCAAUAAUGGAUUAAUAAACAUCUAAAAUAUUGAAAAACAAAAAAAAAUUGUUAUUAAUUGCUCAAAUGACUCCCCUUGGCUAAAUUUAAAAAAAAAAUGCAAAAAAGCACUUAAUAUUAAUAUUAAGAGUGAAUUAAACCUUUAUAGUUAUAAUUUGUUAACCUAUCUUCAUAAAUAACAAUCCUUAAAAACAAUUACAAGUGUUGUUAUCGUGAAAUAAAAUCCUUAGCCAAGAUUCUGUGCCGCUGAGUGUAUAAAAGCGUCACAGUUAGUAUUAGUAAUUUGCAAUAUUGUAUUAUACGUACGCAAUGAUAGCUUUAAAAUGAUGUUAUUUUCGCCAGUUGUGAUAUUAUGUAAACCUACUGUACAAAAUGUUAGCCAUAACACGGUUCGUGCAUUAUCAUAGUGUUAGAUAUUUGUAAAUACUUCGUGUUGACUUGCCUUCAAUAAAAAUAUAAGAAAUAAAA